GCGUCUGGCUGGUGUAGUGGUUAGUGACCCUGACUACUAUGCCGAAGGUCCCGGGUUCGAUUCCCGGCUGGGGCA
rnacentral:tRNA from 1 species